rnacentral:rRNA from 1 species
AUUGAACGCUGGCGGCAUGCUUUACACAUGCAAGUCGAACGGUAACAGGUUAAGCUGACGAGUGGCGAACGGGUGAGUAAUGCAUCGGAACGUGCCCGGUCGUGGGGGAUAACGCAGCGAAAGCUGCGCUAAUACCGCAUACGAUCUGAGGAUGAAAGCGGGGGACCGUAAGGCCUCGCGCGAUCGGAGCGGCCGAUGUCAGAUUAGGUAGUUGGUGGGGUAAAGGCUCACCAAGCCAACGAUCUGUAGCUGGUCUGAGAGGACGAACAGCCACACUGGGACUGGGACACGGCCCAUACACCUACGGCAGGCAGCAGUGGGGAAUUUUGGACAAUGGGCGAAAGCCUGAACCAGCAAUGCCGCGUGCAGGAUGAAAGCCUUCGGGUUGUAAACUGCUUUUGUACGGAACGAAAAGCUCUGGGUUAAUACCCUGGGGUCAUGACGGUACCGUAAGAAUAAGCACCGGCUAACUACGUGCCAGCCGCCGCAGUAA